GCGUGGCUGGCGUGGCGGACGCUCGGCGCGCUCUGGACGUUCCGCGCGUUCCGGACGCUCGGCGCGUUCAGGGCGUUCGCCGCGUUC
rnacentral:tRNA from 1 species